rnacentral:misc_RNA from 1 species
GAGCGUCAUUUAAACCAAUCCAGCCUCGUGCUUGGGUCUUGGGCCUUUCGCCUCCGGGCGGGCCUCAAAAUCAGUGGCGGUGCUCCUGGCUCUAAGCGUAGUAAUACUCCUCGCUAUAGACGUUCGGUGGUGUCCUGCCAGCAACCCCCCCAUUUUCAAAGGUUGACCUCGGAUCAGGUAGGGAUACCCGCUGAACUUAA